rnacentral:tRNA from 1 species
GCUCCUAUAGCUCAGUUGGUAGAGCAGUUGAUUUGUAAUCAUCAGGUCCGCGGUUCGAGUCCGUGUUGCGGCACCA